rnacentral:rRNA from 1 species
CCUACGGGCGGCAGCAGUGGGGAAUAUUGGACAAUGGGCGAAAGCCUGAUCCAGCCAUGCCGCGUGUGUGAAGAAGGUCUUCGGAUUGUAAAGCACUUUAAGUUGGGAGGAAGGGCAGUAAGUUAAUACCUUGCUGUUUUGACGUUACCAACAGAAUAAGCACCGGCUAACUUCGUGCCAGCAGCCGCGGUAAUACGAAGGGUGCAAGCGUUAAUCGGAAUUACUGGGCGUAAAGCGCGCGUAGGUGGUUCGUUAAGUUGGAUGUGAAAGCCCCGGGCUCAACCUGGGAACUGCAUCCAAAACUGGCGAGCUAGAGUAUGGCAGAGGGUGGUGGAAUUUCCUGUGUAGCGGUGAAAUGCGUAGAUAUAGGAAGGAACACCAGUGGCGAAGGCGACCACCUGGGCUAAUACUGACACUGAGGUGCGAAAGCGUGGGGAGCAAACAGGAUUAGAUACCCGGGUAGUC